GGUUGAUCCUGCCAGUAGUCAUAUGCUUGUCUCAAAGAUUAAGCCAUGCAUGUCUAAGUACAAGCCUCAUUAAGGUGAAACCGCGAAUGGCUCAUUAAAUCACACCUAAUGUACUGGAUAGUUUCAGUUACUUGGAUAACUGCGGUAAUUCUGGAGCUAAUACAUGCGGACAAGCCCCGACUCACGGAGGGGCGCUUUUAUUAGAUCAAAACCAAACGGCCUCGCGCCGUGUAUCUGGUGAUUCUGAAUAACUUUGGGCUGAUCGCAUGGCUUCACGCCGGCGACGUAUCCUUCCAAGGUGUGCCCUAUCAACUGUCGACUGUGCUAU
rnacentral:rRNA from 1 species